ensembl:snRNA U6 U6 spliceosomal RNA
GUGCUCGCUUUUGCAACUCUCCUGCUAACAUGGGAACUAUACAGAGAUUAGCAAGGCCCCAUUGCAAGGAUGACAUGCGAAUUCGUGAAACGUGCUAUAUCUUU